ACGGAGGAUCCAAGCGUUAUCCGGAUUUAUUGGGUUUAAAGGGUGCGUAGGCGGUCCUAUAAGUCAGUGGUGAAAGACGGCAGCUUAACUGUCGCAGUGCCUUUGAUACUGUAGGACUUGAAUCUAUUUGAAGUGGGCGGAAUAAGACAAGUAGCGGUGAAAUGCAUAGAUAUGUCUUAGAACUCCGAUUGCGAAGGCAGCUCACUAAGUUAGUAUUGACGCUGAUGCACGAAAGCGUGGGGAUCAAACAGGAUUAGAUACCCUGGUAGUCCACGCCCUAAACGAUGAUAACUCGAUGUUUGCGAUACACAGUAAGCGUCCAAGCGAAAGCGUUAAGUUAUCCACCUGGGGAGUACGGUCGCAAGAUU
rnacentral:rRNA from 1 species